UACGUAGGUGGCAAGCGUUGUCCGGAAUUAUUGGGCGUAAAGCGCGCGCAGGCGGUCUUUUAAGUCUGAUGUGAAAGCCCACGGCUCAACCGUGGAAGGUCAUUGGAAACUGGAAGACUUGAGGACAGAAGAGAAAAGCGGAAUUCCACGUGUAGCGGUGAAAUGCGUAGAGAUGUGGAGGAACACCAGUGGCGAAGGCGGCUUUUUGGUCUGUAACUGACGCUGAGGCGCGAAAGCGUGGGGAGCAAACA
rnacentral:rRNA from 1 species